rnacentral:rRNA from 1 species
GGGGUGUCUUAUAGCCGAGGGUGCAAUGCGGCCUGCCUGGACCGAGGAACGCGCUUCGGCUCGGACGCUGGCGUAAUGGUCGUAAAUGACCCGUCUUGAAACACGGACCAAGGAGUCUAACAUCUACGCGAGUGUUCGGGUGUCAAACCCGUACGCGCAGUGAAAGCGAACGGAGGUGGGAGCCCCCUCGCGGGGCGCACCAUCGACCGAUCCUGAUGUCUUCGGAUGGAUUUGAGUAAGAGCGUAAAUGUGGGGACCCGAAAGAUGGUGAACUAUGCCUGAAUAGGGCGAAGCCAGAGGAAACUCUGGUGGAGGCUCGCAGCGGUUCUGACGUGCAAAUCGAUCGUCGAAUUUGGGUAUAGGGGCGAA